AUCCUUCUGGUUCUAGAGCAUGAUGACUGGGUGGUCACUUGGCUGUGUGAGAUGGGUCUUCCCAGCUGUUACGACCUGACACAUGACCCCUCUGAUC